UACGGAGGGUGCAAGCGUUAUCCGGAUUUACUGGGUUUAAAGGGUGCGCAGGCGGAUAUGUAAGUCAGUGGUGAAAUCUCUAGGCUUAACCUGGAAAUUGCCGUUGAUACUAUAUAUCUUGAAUGUUGUGGAGGUAAGCAGAAUAUGUCAUGUAGCGGUGAAAUGCUUAGAUAUGAUAUAGAAUACCUAUUGCGAAGGCAGCUUACUACGCAGAUAUUGACGCUCAUGCACGAAAGCGUGGGGAUCAAACAGGA
rnacentral:rRNA from 1 species